rnacentral:lncRNA from 1 species
AAAGAACAUUCGUAUCUGAGGAAGUACCAGAACAACCCAACAACAAAAACAAGAAGAAUGGCAAAAUUCGUAUUCAUAUUUUCAUAGGCGAUCAUUAGACAAAUAUACUCGUAGAGGAGAGAGGGAGAGCGUAAUCGCGGCAGCUGGCUGGCUGGCUGGCCAAUCGUUUGGACCAACUUGAUGCUGAGUUUGAGUACGAGACGUGUUGGCCAUGUCCGAAGUGUCGAGGUGUCCGCGGCCCUAUUAAGAGCUGGCAUUUGAAAUGAUUUAUAUAAUGCGGCAUUGUCUGGUGAUGCCAGACACCCGAUAGACCCCCUAUGCCAGAACAUAUGUGAAUACAGUACAGUUAUAGGUGGAAACAAUAUAGCACAUACGAUAUACUCGUACAAACCCAUUGUCCAGAGUUGGCCUGUCAACAGCAAUUUGACAUUUUCGUUGUCACUUUUUGGUGUGCCUGACAUUUUACACACAACAUAAAU